rnacentral:rRNA from 1 species
UUGGGUAUACUUUGCGCAGUAUAGGUGGGAGGUAAAGAUAAUAUAUUUGCGGAUAUAUAGAAGCCAACAGUGAGAUACCACUCUAAGUAUACUAGAAUUCUAACUUUGAAAGCCGUUAACCGGCCAAAGAACAGUUUCAGGUGGGCAGUUUGACUGGGGCGGUCGCCUCCUAAAAAGUAACGGAGGCGUACAAAGGUUUCUUCAGACUGGUCAGAAAUCAGUCUUAGAGUAUAAAGGCAUAAAGAAGCUUGACUGCAAGACCUACAAGUCGAGCAGAGACGAAAGUCGGUCUUAGUGAUCCGACAGUUCUGAGUGGAAA